AAGGCCAUUUGCUUUAGUACGGCGAGUGAAGCGGCAAAAGCUCAAAUUUGAAAUCUGGCACCUUCGGUGUCCGAGUUGUAAUUUGAAGAAGGUAACUUUGGAGUUGGCUCUUGUCUAUGUUCCUUGGAACAGGACGUCACAGAGGGUGAGAAUCCCGUGCGAUGAGAUGCCCAAUUCUAUGUAAAGUGCUUUCGAAGAGUCGAGUUGUUUGGGAAUGCAGCUCUAAGUGGGUGGUAAAUUCCAUCUAAAGCUAAAUAUUGGCGAGAGACCGAUAGCGAACAAGUACAGUGAUGGAAAGAUGAAAAGAACUUUGAAAAGAGAGUGAAAAAGUACGUGAAAUUGUUGAAAGGGAAGGGCUUGAGAUCAGACUUGGUAUUUUGCGAUCCUUUCCUUCUUGGUUGGGUUCCUCGCAGCUUACUGGGCCAGCAUCGGUUUGGAUGGUAGGAUAAUGACUAAGGAAUGUGGCUCUACUUCGGUGGAGUGUUAUAGCCUUGGUUGAUACUGCCUGUCUAGACCGAGGACUGCGUCUUUUGACUAGGAUGUUGGCAUAAUGAUCUUAAGCCACCCGUCUUGAAACACGGACAACCCUCCCCCCCCCCCA
rnacentral:rRNA from 1 species